rnacentral:sRNA from 1 species
GGCGGUUAGGUGUAGGGCUAGGGUUGGAUUAGGGUUAGGAGUAGGGAUAGGGUUGGGUUAGGAGUAGGGUAAGGGUUCAGAGUAGGGUAAGGGUUGGGUUACGGUUAGGAGUAGGGGUAGGUUUUGGGUAGAGGUACCCUAACCCUACUCCUAACCCUAACCCAACCCUUACCCUACUCCUAACCCUUACCCUACUCCUAACCUAACCCUAACCUUAACACUACUCCUAACCCUAACUCUACACCAAACCCAAUCCUACCCGUUUUGCCGUUUUUCAGAAG